rnacentral:rRNA from 1 species
CCCUUAGAUGUUCUGGGCCGCACGCGUGCUACACUGAGUAAUUCAAUGGGUAAGGGAACGCUAGAGCACUACCUAAUCUUGAAAUUUGCUCGUGAUGGGGAUCGACGGUUGCAAUUUUCCGUCGUGAACGAGGAAUACCUUGUAGGCGCAUGUCAUCAUCAUGCGCCGAAUACGUCCCUGCCCUUUGUACACACCGCCCGUCGCUCCUACCGAUUGAGUGAUCCGGUGAGGCUCUGGGACCUGGACGGAAAGAGCGUUUCGCUUGUUCUGUUUGGGAAACUUGGUCGAACCUUAUCAUUUAGAGGAAGGAGAAGUCGUAACA